GCGGGGCUAAAGAGGCAAGUUAGAUUGUACUGAAAAUUAACUGUUAGCUGGAGUUAUGUGACUGUGGGACGAGCGCUUCGGUGAAAAAAAAAAAAAGAAAGAAGUGGUAGUUGACACCGCUUCAUUUUUUUUUAUCCUUUCCAUUAUUAUUUUUUCUUUGGCCGACGUAACCAUUUCUGGGGAUAUAGCUACAAUAAAAUAGAACACUUAAGCGACAAAAACACAUUAAGGUCCGGGCUAUUCAGAUGAGACACUACAAUGCACCUCACCCGGCAAAGCAAGCGGGCAAUUUUUGGAAUUUUGAGAGCAGCCUCUGAUACAAAAGUGGGCAAUCGGGAGCAGCCUGUGAUGCAAAAGAAAUUGAAGCCUUUUUCCUUCAUCAGUAGGGAAGUCUAGGAUUCUCCCCAGUAUUUAGAAUUUGUCUUUGAGUGGAGAGGGAAGCAAGAGAACUGCUGACAGGAUUUCUCAAUUGCUCUGUUUCUGUUCUUCAUAUACCAGGUCAGAAACAAUCGGCAAGUCUCAAGUUGACAGCUUUGAUGUGGCACAGUGCUAAGACUAGACGAAGAUGACGGAAGAGGUGAUUGUCAUCGCCAAGUUUGAUUAUGUGGCACAGCAGGACCAGGAGCUGGACAUCAAGAAGAAUGAAAGACUGUGGCUACUAGAUGACUCUAAGUCCUGGUGGCGUGUGCGAAACUCAACCAAUAAAACAGGCUUUGUGCCAUCUAAUUACGUGGAACGCAAAAACAGUGCAAGAAAAGCCUCCAUUGUUAAGAAUUUAAAGGAUAC